rnacentral:rRNA from 1 species
AACGAACGCUGGCGGCGUGGAUAAGACAUGCAAGUCGAACGGAAACUAGGAGCUUGCUCCGAAAUUUUAGUGGCGAACGGGUGAGUAACACGUGAGUAACCUGCCCUGAAGUGGGAGAUAGCCCGGGGAAACUCGGAUUAAUAUCCCAUGUGAUAGAAAUAUUAAAGGCGCUUUUAGCGUCGCUUCAGGAUGGGCUCGCGGCCUAUCAGCUAGUUGGUGAGGUAAAAGCUCACCAAGGCGACGACGGGUAACUGGUCUAAGAGGACGAUCAGUCACACUGGAACUGAGACACGGUCCAGACACCUACGGGUGGCAGCAGUCGAGAAUCAUUCGCAAUGGACGAAAGUCUGACGGUGCGACGCCGCGUGGAGGAUGACGGCCCUCGGGUUGUAAACUCCUGUCAUGAGGGAGUAAGACAUUUAGCAGGUAAUGGCUGAAUGUUCGAUAGUACCUCAAGAGGAAGGGACGGCUAACUUCG